AGAGUGAGGGAGGGUGUGACUAGUGACAGAGAGAGGGAGGGGGUGACUAGUGACAGAGUGAGAGAGGGAAGGGAUGACUAGUGACAGAGUGAGGGAGGUGGUGAUUAGUGACAGAGGGAGGGAUGGGGUGACUAGUGACAGUCACCACCUCCUUCACUCUGUCACUGUGUCACCCCCUCCCUCACUCUGUCACUAGUCACCCCUUCCUUCCCUCACUCUGCCACUAGUCACCCCUUCCCUCACUCUGUCACCUGUCACCCCUUCACUCU